AAUUUGAGUAACUAUAUUGUGGAUUCUACGCAAUGACGCAGUUUUACGUUAUCACGCAAUAACAUUACAACGUCAUUUAGCAACAAAUCAACCUGCCUCUAGCAAUUUACCCAGAAAAUAAAUUGGCAACACCUGCGACUGGAGUGUAACUGUAAAAUGGCGCCCGGUGAAAUCUGAGUGGAAAAUAAAAGGGAAUGUAAUAAAAGAGCACAGAGACAAUUUGUGACUCCAAUGCACAAGAAUAACGCUUCUACGGGCGUGUCCAUCCAAACAGUCAAGUUGGAAGGAAGAAGGUAAAGAGUAGCGAAAAGUAUGGAAGGUUUGUUUGAGGAGCUAGUGAGGCUGAAGGUCCACAGUGUCCCCAGUAUCGGAUGAAGGAGUUCCUGGAGUCCCUGUCCAACAAGCGCUCAGAGGCACUGCAGGAGUUCAACCAGCAGGCAGGUGUUAUCACUACAACCACCACCAUGGUUUACCAGCAGGGGGUCAACUGCAUCUACACAGACGGCAACGAGGUGGCUGGGUCACUGCUGGAACUGUCUGUCUGCAACAGCAGGUGCAGGUGUCCCAGCAGAAGGGGAUGUCAUGACAGCAGCAGCUCUCGCCCCAUAUGACCACUGCCGCAAGGCCAAGACAUAAUACAGCUUUGCGUUACUGGACUGAACAGACCUGGGAUGACCUCAUUAAGCUGGCUGGAGGCACAGUGAAUAAUGCUCAGGCCAUAGUGCCCUCCUUAACAACUAUCACCACAGUGGCAGUGAAUGACUUGCAGACCUUUGGCCCCUCUGACCAGGGUUGUGUUCAAUUGGAGCAAAUGGGAGAAAACACUUUGAAAAUGGAAGAGGGGGGUCACCAUGAAGAUGAUCCUAACAUUCUGCUCCCACACCAUCCUCCAGAAGUCAGCCAUGGUGCUGCGCAAAGGACCCUGGCUACAGAUUAAGUCUGGCUCUGUACAGCCCCCUGAAAAGCAGACCACUGACUUGAUGAAUGGAUAUAUGGACAGACAGAGUACUUACAGGGACAUAACUAGCGUUGAUAUAGCUUCACUCUACAGUGGUAAUCUGAAAUCACAGGGACUGUUAUUAAUCAACGUGAUCAGAAAGUGGGAAGCAUUACCGAACAUGGGAGAGAUGUGAAGGAUGUGUUCAUGUACUUAGAUACAGCAGGUUAUAUAAUCAUGGUAAUUACACUCCUAUUACUCAGGGGCAGCAUGUGGUGGUGCUAUGAUACUCUCAAGGCAGUAUGUAGGGGUAUCUGUUCUCUCUGUUAGCCUUCCAGGUCUCCAGCCCUGGUAGUGAGUUCUUUACCAUCAUCCAGCUCCUGAAGAAUAAACAGCUAAUGGGACACUAUGAAACAGCCACAGCAGACACUGCACAAAGACUCCAAAGCACAAUCAUCUACUGUAUGGUGUGGUCUCACAAGACUGAUGGCCUAGAUUAGUGAGUUUGGUUUACCUCAAACCGCCCUUGGCAGCGAGUGAUUGAAAGCACAGGUGGAAUUCCUGUAGUAUAUGUGCCCGUGAAAGCACCCUUAUUCGAUGUGGAAAUAUGGCAACAGUCUUCAGCCGAUUAAAACAUGUUUUGUUAAACAACUCUUUAAAUUGAGCUCCAAUUUUCCUCAAAGUGGUGUUUUUACAAGUGACUACACCCAUAAUGUUCUUAAUUCCAUCAUUCCAUGCUUCUGGGUUGGACUUGAGAAAACAAUAGGCUAAAACACUUCACUAACAGCACUCAGUUACUGUAUAUCAACUAAUGAAAGGUUACUUUUCUCUUCCAUAUUUUAGCAGAUGCUCUUAUCCAGAGCAAUUACGGUUAAGUGCCUUGCACAUCAACAUAUUUUUCACCUAGUUGGCCUCAGGGAUUCGAACCUUUCGGUUACUGGCCCAACGCUCUUAACCGCUCCGCUACCUGCCGCCCAUACCAUUUCACAAAGACUUAAGUUAUUAUAUCCACUCCUUCAGUGACUUUCAGGGUUCCUCACCUCAUGUUUGUUAGGGGUGCAGAGAUUAGGCAAAGCUUCCUUUGGUAACCAAGAACGGAAGUAUAGUGUAGAGGGAGCCAGGCUGGUGAGGUGGUGUUGGGUAGUUUUAAAAGAAAUGUGAUCAGAUGAUCACAAAGCCAAAUCCCCCACCCACCCCUGCUAGCUAAAGAGGAAUUUGGACACACAGUGGCUCUCACACACAAGGAUUCGAACACCAACCUGAGAACACUAUAAAAACCUGCAUCAACAGGUCAACAACAACUCAAAACACAGGUAAAGCACAGAGUGAGCAACCACAGCCUAGUGUUCCUUAUUAGUUAGUAUCACCUUUGUAAGUGCUCCUUUGAGUGAGAAAGAGUUUAGAGUGCAACGGGGGCUCUUCCCAUCGAUGUGUUAUGUCCUGUCAAGUUGUCAGUCUCCAAUUAUCCAAGCCACCACAUUUUAUUCUCUCUCAAUUCAAAGGGCUUUAUUGGCAUAGGAAACAUGUUUACAUUGCCAACGCAAGUGAAUAGAUAAUAAGCAAAAGUGAAAUAAACAAUCAAAAAUUAACUGUAAACAUUACACUCACAAAGGUUUCAGAGAAAUGGAGACAUUUCAAAUGUCAUUGUGGCUAUGUACAGUGUUAUAAUGAUAGUUAAAGUACAAAAGAGAAAAUAAUAAAACAUAAAGAUGGG
ensembl:lncRNA